GUUCUGGCUGCCCGUCGUGGCCACGGGUGGCCAAAGUGCUCGAGCACGCGGUGGGAUGCAGCGUGGCAAUGUAGAGCAGAUGGACACGGGAUGAGCCCUGCGCUGAGCCUGCUGCUGUCCCUGGCUGGCUGCACCCUGCUUCAGGGCGUGCCGUUCCCACCCCAGGACGUGAGGCUGGAGGCCCAAAACUUCCACGUGCAGCUGCGGUGGGAGCCGGACCCGCGCACCCCUGGCGAGGCCACGUACCAGGUGGAGUGGAAGAGGCGAACCUCCAACUGGACCAGGGCAGACGCCUCCUGGGGGAACCACACCAGCUCACCCUGGGUGUGCCAGCUGUAUUUCGACGAGAUCUACGAUAUCUACUGGGCGAGAGUGAGAGCCGCGGAGGACGGCGAGCUGUCCCCGUGGGUCUAUUCCAGCGAGCUGCAGCCAUACAGAGACACAAUUGUGGGCCCCCCCAGGCUGUCCUGGCUGUUCCAGGGCCACAUCCUCAGCAUCAAUGUCACCGUGCCGCUCACGCCGUUCAGGGGCAAGAAGGGCUCCUACAAGCCAGUCAACAAAGUGCUGCUGAAGCUGUGGUACUGGCUGCACCUCUACGACGGGGACGUGCUCACCCAGCAAGUGCCCUGCAGGCGGAGCAUGAGAGGAGCACCGUGCACCUUGAGGCACCUGAAGCCGAGCACUCGGUACUGCGUCCGCACGGUGGCAGUGGGCAUGGCCCCCGAGCGGAGCCGGGAGGCUGAGCAGUGCCUGGUGACCCCGGCAGCUCCUGCAGGCUUCCCCUGGGUCCUCCUCGCCGCGCUGAAUGCCACCUUCCUGCUGCUGAGCGUGGCCGGACUCUGCCUGGUCCAUCUGUACAUCUUCCCAAAACCCUCGGAGAUGCGCCUCCCGAAAACACUCGCCCCUCUGGACGGGAGCAGCGGGGUGCCCACCCUCGCGCUGCGGGAGGACGCGCUCGCCCUGCUGCUGCCAGCUGGCAAGGAGCCGGCAGCGCCUGGAGCCCCGCUGCAGCCCAGGGCAAGGCGUCCCCAGGAGACGAGUGGUUACUGCCCCAACGGGUUUGGGACGGACCGCCCCGAGGGAUGGGACACAUCCUGCACCCACAGCCAGCCCGGGCAGGCACUUGGCACCUGGGCAUCGUUGCGGCUGGAGGAGGAGGAGGAGGAACACGACGGGGAUGCUGCGACAGCUUCCACUGACAGCAGCACAGGAGAUGGGGACUGUGGGACAUCCGAGACGUGGCUCCCCCUGCACCUCCAGCUUUAUUCCAAGUGCCCGUGGCCAUCUCCAGGAGCGGGUGUCAGCCUUCCUCCCUCCCUGCAAACCAUCAGCUUCAGCCCCAGGGAGCUGCGGGAGAGCGAGGCAGGGUGCUGGGUACCGCUCAGCUCCGUGAAGCUGCUGGCCAGCAAGGAGGAGGACGAGGGGCAGCUCCACCAUGCUGUCCACCCCCCGAGGACCGAGCUUCAGCCGGGUGACAGUGCCAUGCAGCAGGGUGACACGGGGCGGGCAGCACCAGGCUGCCCCUGCCCAGUGCCCCCAGUGCCCCCCGGCACGUCCCACAUGGGCACGCUCCAUGGACAGGUGGCAGCAACAUCUUCAGAGCACCCCUCUGUGGUUUUGGGUGCUUCUGAGGCAAAAUGUGAGGAAUAG
ensembl:lncRNA